ensembl:lncRNA
AUUAUAUGCCCAAGAAUGCAGGCCCAUAUCCGUAUUGUGUAUAGCAACAGGAAAGGAGUGCUAAUUCAGCAGCACCGUGAAUGCAGCCUUGAUGCUGAACUGACUACCUGGCAGAGAGUUUACCACAGAAAGGGAAGUCCUUUGAUUUGGCCUGAGAGGUUAACUACCUAUUUUACCAGGAGAAGAAACGACAGGCAGCACCUCACCCACUGUCAGAGGAAUUUUAAGGGUAACUUGAUGAGGAAAGCCAACAAGGAGUGA